AAAGGGAGACCUAAUUCCGGUAGGAGACGAAAAAAAAGUAGUCCCAACCAAGAAUCAAUCCCAAAAGGUCGGAGCGAGGUAUGAGGCUUUCAAACUAGGUUCUGGGUUCAUAAAAGACCUGAAUCAGGAACAAGGGCUAUUAGCUCAGGCGGUUAGAGCGCACCCCUGAUAAGGGUGAGGUCCCUGGUUCGAGUCCAGGAUGGCCCACCUGCACAGGUGGCAAAAACAAAGAAAAGAAGCUCCGAAUCAGCACCUUAUCUUACUUAUAUAGUAAGAGAGAAUGCUGGCUCUGAGUUCAGAGUCCAGAGGAACCUUGAAAACUGCAUAGAGCUAGGUGAAAAAGCCAAAAAAGAAGACCGCAAG
rnacentral:tRNA from 1 species